AGCAAGAGCUGCCUCUGUAUAAUAAUAGUAAUGCAGAAAAUCAAUUUUAAUUAACCAAUUGCAUCAAAAUCCAAGCAUGCAAUUCCCUCCAUUAAUGAAGCUGCCUCUCAGGUUCCAUCAUUCUGGGAGGACGACCUUCAAAGCCUUGUUCAAAUGGGUUUUAACCGGAAUCAGCCACAGGCCUUUCAUGGGUCAAUGGGUGAAGCUCAGUUGAAAAUUGAGUUGUAAUUACCAGCAAUAAUCAA